AACGCGCAGAACCUUACCAGCCCUUGACAUCCCGAUCGCGGUUACCAGAGAUGGUUUCCUUCAGUUAGGCUGGAUCGGUGACAGGUGCUGCAUGGCUGUCGUCAGCUCGUGUCGUGAGAUGUUGGGUUAAGUCCCGCAACGAGCGCAACCCUCGCCCUUAGUUGCCAUCAUUCAGUUGGGCACUCUAAGGGGACUGCCGGCUCUAGAGAUUGAGGAAGGUGGGGAUGACGUCAAGUCCUCAUGGCCCUUACGGGCUGGGCUACACACGUGCUACAAUGGCGGUGACAAUGGGCAGCAAGACCGCGAGGUCAAGCUAAUCUCCAAAAGCCGUCUCAGUUCGGAUUGCACUCUGCAACUCGAGUGCAUGAAGUUGGAAUCGCUAGUAAUCGUGGAUCAGAAUGCCACGGUGAAUACGUUCCCGGGUCUUGUACACACCGA
rnacentral:rRNA from 1 species